rnacentral:rRNA from 1 species
AGCGAACGCUGGCGGCAGGCUUAACACAUGCAAGUCGAGCGGGCGUAGCAAUACGUCAGCGGCAGACGGGUGAGUAACGCGUGGGAACAUACCUUUUGGUUCGGAACAACACAGGGAAACUUGUGCUAAUACCGGAUAAGCCCUUACGGGGAAAGAUUUAUCGCCGAAAGAUUGGCCCGCGUCUGAUUAGCUAGUUGGUGAGGUAACGGCUCACCAAGGCGACGAUCAGUAGCNGGUCUGAGAGGAUGAUCAGCCACAUUGGGACUGAGACACGGCCCAAACUCCUACGGGAGGCAGCAGUGGGGAAUAUUGGACAAUGGGGGCAACCCUGAUCCAGCAAUGCCGCGUGUGUGAAGAAGGCC